rnacentral:rRNA from 1 species
AAAACGGAGAGUUUGAUCCUGGCUCAGGAUGAACGCUGGCGGUAUGCUUAACACAUGCAAGUCGAACGGUGUCUUCGGACACAGUGGCGGACGGGUCUUCGGACACAGUGGCGGACGGGUGAGUAA